CCCUUAGAUGUUCUGGGCCGCACGCGCGCUACACUGUUCGACGCAGCGAGUCUUAACCUUGACCGAAAGGUUUGGGUAAUCUUCAGCAAAGUCGAACGUGAUGGGGAUCGAUCAUUGCAAUUAUUGAUCGUGAACGAGGAAUUCCUAGUAAGUGCAAGUCAUCAGCUUGCGCUGAUUACGUCCCUGCCCUUUGUACACACCGCCCGUCGCUACUACCGAUUGAAUGGUUUAGUGAGAUCUCUGGAUUGACGCUGGCUAGGGGGCGACCCUUGGCCAGACUGUUGAGAAACUGCUCAAACUUGAUCAUUUAGAGGAAGAAAAAGUCGUAACA
rnacentral:rRNA from 1 species